UGUAAAGUUCAAGCUCCGAUUAUGAGGGCGAAACCGCGAAUGGCUCAUUAAAUCAGUCAUAAUCUACUUGAUUGUUUAAAGGUUAUAUGGAUAACUGUGGUAAUUCUAGAGCUAAUACAUGCACAAAAGGAGCGACUCGAGCAAUCGAGAAGCUCUGCGUUUAUUAGAUUAAGACCAAUGAUUGGCGCAAGCCUUUCUACGUCAAGGUGACUCUGAAUAAAUAAUGGGUGAAAGCCCAUGUUGCUGACCUGACAUACCAAAUAGGGCGCAAGCUCUAGUCAGGCAAAUCAAUCGAGUGUCUGCUCUAUCAACUGUGGAUGGUAGGGUAAUUGCCUACCAUGGUGAUGACGGGUAACGGGGAGUUAGGGCUCGACUCCGGAGAACAAGCCUGAGAAACGGCUAGUAGGACUAAGGUCUGCAGCAGGCGCGAAACUUACACAAUGCUAGAUUAAAAUUAGCGAUGUAGUGAAGAAAAAUAACGAUGUACUUUCAUCUACAAAUGAUAGUACAAUUGGAAUGAGACGACUAUAAACCAGUUAGUCGAGUAACAAAUGGAGGGCAAGUCUGGUGCCAGCAGCCGCGGUAAUUCCAGCUCCAUUAGCAUACAUUAAAGUUGUUGCGGUUAAAAAGCUCGUAGUUGAAUUUUAGGCGGGCUCUAUUGGAUUGCAAUCGUUAAGACUAACUUGCUUCGGCUUGCUUAGUUGGUUGUAUCAUCCUAUAGGAACCCGCUGUUUCGUCACUUAAUUGAGUGCGAAGCGGGCUGAAACAUUUGCUUAACCUCCGCGGUUGCAUUGUUCCAGCAAGUUUACCUUGAGAAAAUUAGAGUGCUCACAGCAGGCAGUUGGGGCGUAAAAACCCCUUUAUGCUUGGAUAAUGUUGCAUGGAAUAAUAGAAUACGGCCUCGGUUCUAUUCUGUUGGUCUUAUAGAACAACAAACAAGUUGGUUAAAGCGACAAAAAGUUCGUUUGUGAGUGUGGCUUCAAGGGUCUUUCAUGUAAAUUUGCACUUACUAGUUGCGUUGUGUUGCCUAGGGCCUUAAAAUCUUAGUGCCGCGCGCUUCUAACUAGUCUUAUUUGCUGUUUGCUACUUAAAGUCAUCAAAGCACUCCUAAUUGGGCUAGCUUUCUAAUCAACUGAGGCAAUGGUUAAAAGAAAUAGUCGCGGCGGCAUCAGUACUGCAUCGUGAGAGGUGAAAUUCUUAGACCGAUGCAAGACUAACUGAAGCGAAAGCGUUUGCCGAGGAUAUUUUCAUUAAUCAAGAACGAAAGUUAGAGGUUCGAAGGCGAUCAGAUACCGCCCUAGUUCUAACCAUAAACGUUGCCAACUAGCAAUUGGGUUGCGAUUCCUUUAAUCGAAGCGUAAAAAACUUCGAUCAUUAUGAUCCACCCAGCGGCUCUCGUAGGGAAACCAAAGUGUUUGGGUUCCGGGGGAAGUAUGAUUGCAAAGUUGAAACUUAAAGGAAUUGACGGAAGGGCACCACCAGGAGUGGAGCCUGCGGCUUAAUUUGACUCAACACGGGGAAACUUACUAGAUUAGAACUCUGGAAUGAUUGACAGAUUGAUAGCUCUUUCUUGAUUCAGAGGAUGGUGGUGCAUGGCCGUUCUUGAUUCGUAUUCCGAAACGUCUGCUUAAUUGCGAUAACGAGUGAGACCUCACCCAACUAACUAGUCGUUUGGUGCGCUGUGGGACGCAAAAGUUCCUGUAGGAUUUGUGUUAGGGUUGGCAGCAAUGUUAGCUCUAGUACUGCCUGCGUGGAAUGUCCUCUGCUCGCCAGCGGACUUCUUAGAGGGAUAAACGGUGUUUUAGCCGUAAGAAACGAGGCAAUAACAGGUCUGUGAUGCCCUUAGAUAUUCUAGGCCGCACGCGUGCUACAAUGGCGUGUGCAGAAAGCUUGUUCGAGGUCUGUCCAGAGAGAACUAAUCGUUUGGCUUGCAUUUGGGGGCAACUCUAGGUGUAGGUCGGCGGAAAAGUGACUUUGGCAGCAGGCCGAGAGAAACCGUAGCCGAAAGGUUACGGCAAUCAUAAAUACACGCCGUGAUUUGGGAUUGGGGAUUGCAAUUGUUGCCCAUGAACGAGGAAUUCCCAGUAAGCGCAAUUCAUCAUAUUGCGUUGAUUACGUCCCUGCCCUUUGUACACACCGCCCGUCGCUACUACCGAUUGGAAGUUUUAGUGAGGCAUUUGGACCUGCCGUCAAAAGGGAGGGCAACCUCUCUGUGAUGGCGGGGAAGUCUGUCGAACUCAAAUUUCUAGAGGAAGUAAAAGUCGUAACAAGGUUUCCGU
rnacentral:rRNA from 1 species